AGUCCAUGGUGCAGAUAUUUUUGCAUCAUCUCCUUGAAAUGCUCCCAUGCCUCGAGAAGUGAUUUUCCAUCCGUCUGCCUAAAGUAUGUGAUAUGGUUCCUUAGUUG